rnacentral:lncRNA from 1 species
CCUGAGAAAUAGUCGUUCCUCUUGUUAGGAUGUGGAGAUUAAUCCCAAUUGGGCAUCAGGCAUCAGCCAAGUGCUCAAAAACUGUUGAGGCAGGAAACAUUGCAGUUUUUUAAUCAAAGUUCUGGCUGAGUCAGAGCGAUGUUCCAGGUUAGUUCAGCCUAACAUAAAUGUUUCGAUGAAAGCUGGGUAGCCUUUACCAUUUCUCCUUAAGUACAGAGUGCUUUAAUUAGAGGAAAGCAGAGCAACAGCUGCUGUGAAUCUGUUCUGCUGUUGAGUUGUCAAUGCAAAGGCUCAAUUUCGAGCACUUCUUACUAAGCUUUCAGUACCAUUCUGGAGUCUGAAUUUACUGGUAUCUAAUGGUGAGAUUUCAACACCAGACAAAGAAAAGCCAUGCUGGCCUUGAACUCAAGCCCUGUUCCUUGGGUGAGCAUUAGCUUCAGCUUUUUACUGGUAGGGUUUUCAGGUUAAUAACAUUUUCCCCCCUAAGGCAAUUGAGAACUUGAGACAGUUCAAAUCAUCCUUCCUGAACCUCUGGCUCUGUGAGGUUCUGUUUGAACCCCUGUGGCUCUUCCAGAUUGAUUCUAUACUUCUAUGUGGCAAAUAGGUUUUGAAUCUGAUCCACGGGGGUCCUGGAGUGCUCGACUGAGGAUUCUAAGACCACUUCAGGGCUCAGCAGCAGACGGUGCCAUGUGCCUGCCUCAGAACUGAGAAGCGAUUUUUACAUCCGUGCUUUCUGACUGACUAAGAGUUCACAGAGCUUUCCUACCGCUGAGAAGGCGAUUCCAUUGGUCUAAGAACCCAUCUCUGCACCUCUGCCUGGUUCCUCUGCAGUGGGAUGAAGUGGAAUGGAUUUGGGUUCAAAAUGACCUAGAUUCAAACCACAGCUCCAAUGCUUACUGGAUGUGUGACUCUGGUUAAGAUAAUCCCGCUUGAGCGAUGAAAAUGAUUGGUUCAUAAUGCUCCCUCAGUAGAGUCAAGGGCAAGCUGGGGAAACUGAAGCAAGGAGGGAUGAAGUGACUUAACCAAGGGCAUGUGAGCUCACGGUGGCAGAUCUGGGAUUGCAAAGCUCAGGAAUUGAAAAUGGCUGUUUCAUCAUUGGACAGGAAGAAGGAUGUUAUCAACGCAUUAGCAUCUCUACAGUCAAGCUGAAGUGUGAUUGACUCUGGGCAGUUUGAUCAAUCAAGGUGGUCAACAGGAAGUUAUUUCCUCAAAUAUCGACGUCCUAUGUUUGAAUUGACUACUCUAUAUGAACUCUGGCAGCCAUCUUGGACCAUGAGGUAACUUUAAGGAUGGAAACUAUGUACUAGCAAGAUAGAUCAGAAAUACAGGAGGAACCUGAGUCCCUGAUGACUCUGGAGCUGCCAUACCAGACCUGAACUGAUA